rnacentral:rRNA from 1 species
GAUUGAACGCUGGCGGCAGGCCUAACACAUGCAAGUCGAACGGUAACAGGAAGCAGCUUGCUGCUUCGCUGACGAGUGGCGGACGGGUGAGUAAUGUCUGGGAAACUGCCUGAUGGAGGGGGAUAACUACUGGAAACGGUAGCUAAUACCGCAUAACGUCGCAAGACCAAAGAGGGGGACCUUAGGGCCUCUUGCCAUCGGAUGUGCCCAGAUGGGAUUAGCUAGUAGGUGGGGUAACGGCUCACCUAGGCGACGAUCCCUAGCUGGUCUGAGAGGAUGACCAGCCACACUGGAACUGAGACACGGUCCAGACUCCUACGGGAGGCAGCAGUGGGGAAUAUUGCACAAUGGGCGCAAGCCUGAUGCAGCCAUGCCGCGUGUAUGAAGAAGGCCUUCGGGUUGUAAAGUACUUUCAGCGGGGAGGAAGGGAGUAAAGUUAAUACCUUUGCUCAUUGACGUUACCCGCAGAAGAAGCACCGGCUAACUCCGUG